GGCUUUGGUAAGCAGUGGAAGAACAGUAAGUCUUCAAGAACUAUUGAGUUAUAUUUGACUAUGGUGUACAAUGGAUUUGCAAGGUUGAGCAGUUAAGAAUGAGGUUUAUCCACUAUUCCUCCAGGGAGGGCUUGCCGGUGAUAGACGGUGUGUAGUCCCAGCUUCAGGAUUUGGUUUUAGUGCACAUCAGAUAUGUAAAGUUGUCCUAGACAACACCUUAACCUUCCUGCUCAUAAGGUAAUGGUUGCAACUGUUCGUUGUGAAGAGAUUGCCAAUGAAAAGCUCAGUCACUUGACCUCAGAUGAGGGUUGGUUGGAACUGGAUGAAGCUGUUCAAGCUUGCUUUGUGUCAGGCUUCGGAGAAAAACUAAGCUCUAUGUAGUAUCUGGAAGUAUCUGCAAGUUUUGAGUAAGCUUCUAUGUAGUAUUUGAGCUAACUUAUAGUGUAUUUAGUGAAAAUGAACUGAACUCGGUCUAUGUAUUUCAUUUGGUACUUGAAGAAUUUGUUUUCUUUUUGAUGUGAAUUGAUUGAAUGUUAAUAUGAAGAAUUGUUGUGUGAAUUGAUUGAAUGUUAAUAUGAAUUGAUUGAGAAAC